AAAAAAUUUAAUUUUAGUUUAAAAAUUAAAUAUUAUUAUUUAUUAAAUAUAAAUUUUAUUUAAGAAGAAAAAGUAGUAAUUAAAAUUAAUUAUUAAGGAAAUUUAGAAUUAGAAAAUAUAAUAGUAUUAACUUAAUUUGUGCCAGCAGUUGCGGUUAUACAAAUAAUACAAUUUAAUUUUAUAAAUAUUAAUUAAUUUUUUAUAAAUUAAUUUUAUUUAAAAAUUUAUUAAGUGAAAUUUUAAAUUUUUAAAAAAUUAUUUUUUUAAAAAUGAAGUUAAUAAAAUUUAGUAUUAAACUAGGAUUAGAUACCCUAUUAUUUAAAAGAUAUAUAAAAAAAUAUUGAAUGAUUAUAAGAUAUAUUCUUUAAAAUUAAAAAUUUUGGCGGUAUUUUAGUCUUUUCAGAGGAACCUGUUCUAUAAAUGAUAAUCCACGAUUUAAUUUACUUUUUUUUUAAAUUUAUAUAUCGUCGUAAUUAAAUAUUUUUAUAGAAUUUUAAUAUUUAAGAUUUUUAAUUUGAAUAUAAAUCAGAUCAAGAUUUAGUUUAUAAAAAAGUAGAAAUGGGUUACAUUAAAUAUAUUUUUAGAUUAAUUAUAUUAUUAUAAUUAUAAAAUUGGAUUUGAAAGUAAAUUUAAUUAAUUUAUUAAUUUGAUUUAGCUCUAAAAUAUGUACAUAUUGCCCGUCGCUUUCAUUUAAUGUGAAAUAAGUCGUAACAAAGUAGAUUUACUGGAAAGUGAAUCUAGAUUCAA
rnacentral:ncRNA from 1 species